GACGAACGCUGGCGGCGUGCCUAAUACAUGCAAGUCGAACGCAGUGGGGACGGGUGAGUAACACGUGGGUAACCUCCCAUCAGAGGGGAUAACACUUGGCAACAGGUGCUAAACCGAUAAUGCUGGAUGGACCCGCUGUGCAUUAGCCAGUUGGUGAGGUAACGGCUCACCAAGGCAACGAUGCAUAGCCGACCUGAGAGGGGGAUCGGACACACGGGGACUGAGACACGGCCCAAGCUCCUACGGGAGGCAGCAGUAGGGAAUCUUCGGCAAUGGGCGAAAGUCUGACCGAGCAACGCCGCGUGAGUGAAGAAGGUUUUCGGAUCGUAAAACUCUGUUGUUAGUGAAGCGGUAUCUAACCAGAAAGCCACGGCUAACUACGUGCCAGCCGCCGCGGUAAUUC
rnacentral:rRNA from 1 species